UACGUAGGGUGCAAGCGUUAUCCGGAUUUACUGGGUUUAAAGGGUGCGUAGGUGGAUAAUUAAGUCAGUGGUGAAAUCUUCAGGCUUAACCUGGAAACUGCCAUUGAUACUAUUUGUCUUGAAUACUUUGGAGGUAAGCGGAAUAUGUCAUGUAGCGGUGAAAUGCUUAGAUAUGACAUAGAACACCAAUUGCGAAGGCAGCUGGCUACACAAAUAUUGACACUGAGGCACGAAAGCGUGGGGAUCAAACAGG
rnacentral:rRNA from 1 species